AGCUAUUGAGAGUGGCUGCUGAGGGGUGGUCCCCAUCAGCAGUGGCCUUCAGAAGAGACCAGGCAGCCUGGGGUAGGAGCACGGCCUAGGCAACUGGAAGGCAGGGGCUCCUAAGAUUCCAUGACACCCCCACCUUCCAAUUCUGUUAUUGCAACUCCAGACCGUUACCCGGCGUGCAGGGUCCUCUCUCCAUCACUCCUGUCUGACUCUGAGCUACAGGCAGUCCCUUCUGCUCUGAGUUCUGGCAUCCUGAAUGUUGUUUUUAUGGUUAUAGACUCUCAAGUGUUGUGGAGUGUUGAUGAAGUUGCUCCCAACAGAAAUCAAAAGGAUCAUGAGGAGGAGGAAGGACAUGACCCAGUGGUCUCCAGAAAACCAUGAAGAUGAUGAAAAUGAAGAAGGACAAGAAUCACUGAUCCCCAGGGAUACUGCCGCCUGGAACCUGCCAUCUCAGCAUCCCCAGGCACAUGUGAAAAGCUCCCACCCUGGAGGCCUGUCACCCAGGGCCUUUGAGAGGAAACUUGAGUUUCCAAAGGUCAGAGCUGCAAGUUUUACAAACACAGCUGCAGCCAAGCACUCAGGUGACCAGUUAUCUGCCACUGCAGCUGGACCAGUUUGA
rnacentral:lncRNA from 1 species